GAUGAACGCUGGCGGCGUGCCUAAUACAUGCAAGUCGAGCGAACAGACGAGGAGCUUGCUCCUCUGACGUUAGCGGCGGACGGGUGAGUAACACGUGGAUAACCUACCUAUAAGACUGGGAUAACUUCGGGAAACCGGAGCUAAUACCGGAUAAUAUAUUGAACCGCAUGGUUCAAUAGUGAAAGACGGUUUUGCUGUCACUUAUAGAUGGAUCCGCGCCGCAUUAGCUAGUUGGUAAGAUAACGGCUUACCAAGGCGACGAUGCGUAGCCGACCUGAGAGGGUGAUCGGCCACACUGGAACUGAGACACGGUCCAGACUACUACGGGAGGCAGCAGUAGGGAAUCUUACGCAAUGGGCGGAAGCCUGACGGAGCAACGCCGCGUGAGUGAUGAAGGUCUUCGGAUCGUAAAACUCUGUUAUUAGGGAAGAACAAAUGUGUAAGUAACUAUGCACGUAUUGACGGUACCUAAUCAGAAAGCCAGGGCUAACUACGUG
rnacentral:rRNA from 1 species